rnacentral:rRNA from 1 species
CCUACGGGGCGCAGCAGUGAGGAAUAUUGGUCAAUGGACGGAAGUCUGAACCAGCCAUGCCGCGUGCAGGAAGACGGCUCUAUGAGUUGUAAACUGCUUUUGUACAAGGGUAAACCUGAAUACGUGUAUUCAGCUGAAAGUACUGUACGAAUAAGGAUCGGCUAACUCCGUGCCAGCAGCCGCGGUAAUACGGAGGAUCCAAGCGUUAUCCGGAUUUAUUGGGUUUAAAGGGUGCGUAGGCGGAUUGAUAAGUUAGAGGUGAAAUUUUCGAGCUUAACUCGGGAACUGCCUCUAAUACUGUUGAUCUAGAGAGUAGAUGCGGUAGGCGGAAUGUAUGGUGUAGCGGUGAAAUGCUUAGAGAUCAUACAGAACACCGAUUGCGAAGGCAGCUUACCAAUCUAUAUCUGACGUUGAGGCACGAAAGCGUGGGGAGCAAACAGGAUUAGAUACCCGUGUAGUC